rnacentral:rRNA from 1 species
UACAGAGACUGCAAGCGUUAUUCGGAUUCACUGGGCGUAAAGGGUGCGCAGGCGGCCGGGUGUGUCAGAUGUGAAAUCCCGAGGCUCAACCUCGGAACUGCGUCUGAAACUACUCGGCUAGAGUACUGGAGAGGGUAACGGAAUUCACGGUGUAGCAGUGAAAUGCGUAGAUAUCGUGAGGAACACCAGAGGCGAAGGCGGUUACCUGGACAGUUACUGACGCUCAGGCACGAAAGCAUGGGGAGCAAACAGG